AUUGAACGCUGGCGGCAUGCCUUACACAUGCAAGUCGAACGGCAGCACAGGGGCAACCCUGGUGGCGAGUGGCGAACGGGUGAGUAAUGCAUCGGAACGUGCCCAGUAGUGGGGGAUAACCCGGCGAAAGCCGGGCUAAUACCGCAUACGACCUACGGGUGAAAGCGGGGGACCGUAAGGCCUUGCGCUAUUGGAGCGGCCGAUGUCUGAUUAGCUAGUUGGCGGGGUAAAGGCCCACCAAGGCGACGAUCAGUAGCUGGUCUGAGAGGACGACCAGCCACACUGGGACUGAGACACGGCCCAGACUCCUACGGGAGGCAGCAGUGGGGAAUUUUGGACAAUGGGCGCAAGCCUGAUCCAGCCAUGCCGCGUGCGGGAAGAAGGCCUUCGGGUUGUAAACCGCUUUUGGCAGGAACGAAACGGCGCAAGCUAAUACCUUGCGCUAAUGACGGUACCUGCAGAAUAAGCACCGGCUAACUACGUGCCAGCAGCCGCAGUAACAC
rnacentral:rRNA from 1 species